ensembl:snoRNA SNORD57 small nucleolar RNA, C/D box 57
UGGAGGUGAUGAACUGUCUUAGCCUGACCUUGUAGAGUGGAGGCACAAAACUGAUUUAAUGAGCCUGAUCC